rnacentral:lncRNA from 1 species
GCUGACUACUACAGGAAAAAAGAUUAAUCGAAAUAUUUAAAAGGUGCCGAUAUUGAUUUCGAACUACUGAAAUUACACAUUUGAAAACAAAAACAAACCUAAGAAUAACUUGCUUAACUCAUCACUGAAUCUGUUUAACGACAUUUCUUUAAAGG